rnacentral:rRNA from 1 species
GACGAACGCUGGCGGCGUGCUUUACACAUGCAAGUCGAACGCUGAACCCGCUUCGGUGGGGGAUGAGUGGCGAACGGGUGAGUAACACGUGGGCAACCUGCCCCCGGCUCUGGGAUAACUCCAAGAAAUUGGGGCUAAUACCGGAUGUGACCGCUGGCCGCAUGGUCUGGUGGUGGAAAGGGUUUCCGGCUGGGGAUGGGCCCGCGGCCUAUCAGCUUGUUGGUGGGGUAGUGGCCUACCAAGGCGACGACGGGUAGCCGGCCUGAGAGGGUGACCGGCCACACUGGGACUGAGACACGGCCCAGACUCCUACGGGAGGCAGCAGUGGGGAAUAUUGCGCAAUGGGCGGAAGCCUGACGCAGCGACGCCGCGUGGGGGAUGACGGCCUUCGGGUUGUAAACCUCUUUCAGCAGGGACGAAGCGCAAGUGACGGUACCUGCAGAAGAAGCACCGGCCAACUACGUG